AGUUUUCUCAUCAGAGUGUAUCAG
rnacentral:piRNA from 1 species